rnacentral:rRNA from 1 species
AAAGGAAUAGACGGGGGCCCGCACAAGCGGUGGAGCAUGUGGUUUAAUUCGAUGAUACGCGAGAAACCUUACCAGGGCUUGACAUAUAUAGGAAUGUGGUUGAAAGAUCACAGCUGCUUGCAGCCUGUAUACAGGUGCUGCAUGGCUGUCGUCAGCUCGUGCUGUGAAGUGUGAGAUUAAGUUCUUCAACGAGCGCAACCCCUACUGCCUGUUACCAACAUUAAGUUGGGGACUCAGGCGGGACUGCCGGUGACAAAUCGGAGGAAGGCGGGGACGACGUCAAGUCAUCAUGGCCCUUAUGUCCUGGGCAACACACGUGCUACAAUGGUUGGUACAGACCGAAGCGAAGGUGCGAACUGGAGCUAAUCGUAAAAAACCAAUCUCAGUACGGACUGGAGUCUGCAACUCGACUCCACGAAGUUGGAAUCGCUAGUAAUCGCAUAUCAGCAUGAUGCGGUGAAUACGUUCCCGGGCCUUGUACACACCGCCCGU